GGGACACGUGAAAUCCUGUCUGAACAUGGGGGGACCACCCUCCAAGCCUAAAUACUCGUACAUGACCGAUAGCGAACACAGUACCGUGAGGGAAAGGUGAAAAGCACCCCGAUUAGGGGAGUGAAACAGUACCUGAAACCGGAUGCUUACAAGCAGUUGGAGCCCCAUAGGGGGUGACAGCGUACCUCUUGCAUAAUGGGUCAGUGACUUAAUCUAGCAUGCGAGCUUAAGCCGUUAGGUGUAGGCGAAGCGAAAGCGAGUCUGAAUAGGGCGACUGAGUAUGUUGGAUUAGACCCGAAACCCGGCGAUCUAGGCAUGAGCAGAUUGAAGGUGCGGUAACACGCACUGGAGGAUCGAACCGUUGCAUGUUGAAAAAUGCUCGGAUGACUUGUGUUUAGGGGUGAAAGGCCAAUCAAGCCGGGAAAUAGCUGGUUCUCCGCGAAAUCUAUUGAGGUAGAGCGUCAGAUGUAUGCCGAUGGGGGUAGAGCACUGGAUGGGCUAGGGCUGCGCGAGCGGUACCAAACCUAACCAAACUCCGAAUACCAUCGAGACUUGUCUGGCAGACAGACGGCGGGUGCUAAGGUCCGUCGUCAAAAGGGAAACAGCCCUAACCUACAGCUAAGGUCCCCAAGUCGUAUCUAAGUGGGAAAGCAUGUGGGAAUCCCAAAACAACCAGGAGGUUGGCUUAGAAGCAGCCAUCCUUUAAAGAAAGCGUAACAGCUCACUGGUCUAAAUAAGGGUUCCUGCGGCGAAGAUGUAACGGGGCUAAAGAUACGCACCGAAGCUUAGGGUUGCAGUUUACUGCAGCGGUAGCGGAGCGUUCCGUAAGCGAGUGAAGGAGAAGGGUAACCGACUCUGGACGUAUCGGAAGUGCGAAUGCUGACAUGAGUAGCGACAAACAGGGUGAGAUACCCUGUCGCCGAAAGACCAAGGGUUCCUACGCAAUGCUAAUCAGCGUAGGGUGAGCCGGCCCCUAAGACGAGCCCGAAGGGGGUAGUCGAUGG
rnacentral:rRNA from 1 species